rnacentral:rRNA from 1 species
CCCCUAGAUGUUCUGGGCCGCACGCGCGCUACACUGAACAGUUCAACAAGUCUUAACCUUGGCCGAUAGGUCUGGGUAAUCUUUGAACGCUGUUCGUGAUUGGGAUAGACCUUUGCAAUUAUGGGUCUUCAACGAGGAAUUCCUAGUAAACGCAAGUCAUCAGCUUGCAUUGAUUACGUCCCUGCCCUUUGUACACACCGCCCGUCGCACCUACCGAUUGAAUGGUCCGGUGAAAUCUCGGGACGGCGGCUUGGUCGCUUGCGUCCGACUGCUGAAACUUGAUUAAACCAUAACAUUUAGAGGAAGGUGAAGUCGUAACA